GUUUAAUAAAAGGUACUUGGGCCUCGUCUGGAAGAGACCCACCAGAGGCUGCGUCCCCAGCCUGCCACCUUCCAGUGGGCUUGUGCAGUGUGGCCUCCUCCUGCACAGGACCUGCAGGGCUUGUGCAACCAGGAUUCACCUCUGCAGAAACGGGUUUGUUUUCCAGCCCACGCGGGGCUGGCCUCCCUCAUGAAGCAUUGGCCCCACGUGCAAACGCCCCAGCACGGAAAUGCACUGUGACGUCAGAGGAAGGCUGUGUGAGCAAAGUGGCCGAGAACGUCACUGGGACACAGCUAGGAAAUGAGGAAACCCCGACCUGCCCAGCCAACUUCAAAUGCCAUCACUGUUUUGAUGACUCAUCUCCAUCUCGGAGGACACCCUCCCUCUCGGGURUAGACCAGCCAGUUAGUGCUGUCAAAGGCUGUGAGCAGGAAGCAAGUGCUCCUGCAAUCUAAACGGCUUCAGGUGGAGCCCACCCCAGAUCUGGAGGAGUUGGAGAGGGUUAGGAUGCCCCCAACCUCUGUAUGGCUCGGAGCAUCGUUGGCUCCUGUCCUUCCCUCCACCCAGCAGCCCAGGAGCUGACCCACCAGGGGAUCUURGUCCCUAUUUGAAUUACUCUCCAAAGCCCUGGGCCAGGGAGGAUCCACACCCGCUCUCACACCACCCACCUUUCCAUCCCAAGGGCACGGCACUCUGGGUUGGCGCCCUCCUGCACACCACCUGGUGUGCCAGAGCUGCCUGGGGCCUGGACUCUGACUCCCCUCUGGACUGUAACACCUCAAGGGUGGGGUCCACCGAGCAAAGCCAAUGCCAGGCACCCUUCGUAUUUGCCGAAUAGAUCACCACUAAUUGCAUUAUAAACGGAUUCUUCCAGAUAAUUAAUGGCAAUUUUCAAGUGUUUUUCAACUCCUACUUGAUUUUUUUCUACCUACCUGUGAAACACACAUUUGGUGAACAUCUGUGAUGUGCCAGGCCUGGUGUCCUGCUGGGGACACAGGUGUAUUCAAGGGAUCUUUCUUCAGGGAGCUCAGAGCAUCCUGGGAAAGCCAAGAGGUGAACACCUCCCUUCAAAAUGGCGCCCUGAUCCAAUGGCUUCCUCCUGGAUCCCAGCUCCAGCUUCAAGGCCGCCCUUUCCAGGGUCUUCCCCAAACAGCCU
rnacentral:lncRNA from 1 species